AUUAGUUCGAGCGAUUUUAUUUUGAAAACUGAACGUUUUAGGGGGGUCAAAGGAGUUGACUUUUUAUACAUUGGGAAAUUGGGAAAACUUCCUUCAUGAAAGUUGUAGAGCGCGUCGAUACGAGUUCGUGGACAUAUGGAACGUAAUAUUCGGAGUUCGUAUGAAUAAGUUACGAAUAUUUGAAAAUUGGGAUUUUCUAUAAAUAUGAAAAAAAAAUCCGAAUAUUGCAAAUGAGGACAGAAUUUCUGGAACUCCAGAAAUUUCUCCCCAUUUCUCUCCCGAGCCCAGCCGCGACCCCCUCCCUUCGUCACCUUCGUUCUUCCUCAUCCGGCCACCGAUUGAUGUGAAACAAAGUGGGUUUUUCUGGUCUCGACCCCCUUUACGAGUUUGUAGAAGAAAUCGAAGUGAAAUACGAGCUGUAUGAGGCUCUACAAGGUCGAGAAGAGAGCCUCGUCGGAGACGAAAUCGCUCUUCCCCACUUUUUCUGGGCUCUACUUUGUCUGGCCAUAUCUUCCUCUACAGGCCUCCGAUCGACCUGAUUCCAAAAGCAAUUUUUCUCACCGUGAAGUUUUCUACAACUUUCCAGAAGACAUCAACUUGAGAUAACCAUCGUGGUGGCCGCUAGAAGACCGAGAAGCCGCACAGCCGAGCUGGAAAUCGUCUUCCUUCGCCACCUUGGUUCUCCCAGCUCCGGCCACUAUAGCUCGAGUUCUUUGAGGGCUUUUCUAGCCCAGAGGAAGUAGAAGCUAUCCCCACGAAGGCUUGCAGCGAUUUGAUCCGGGGUGAUCGAAUUUUGAAGAUUGGGAAACUAGGGUUCUUCGGGUUUCAAAACUUGCGAGGUGAUUGACGGUCUCCCUUGGGUGAACGAUUUCGGUGUGUAUUGUGUUGAAUUGAAGACGCAGCGGGAAUAUCGAGCGGGUAAUCCUGCAGGUCAGGAGAAUCAGGGCGGUGAUCGAGCGGGUUAGAGUAUUUGUUAUAGUUUUACAGCAUUUGUAAUAGUGAGGUGAGUUAAGCUCAUUGAGCCUUACAAUUUGAUUUGGUGAGAGUGUGUUGUAAUAAUUAACUUGAGGAUUUGAUUUAUUGUAAUAUUGAGAGGUGUGAAGUGUGGUUGUUUGUGAGAAAAAAAUUCAGGACGUUUAUUCUA